rnacentral:rRNA from 1 species
UACGAAGGGGGCUAGCGUUGCUCGGAAUCACUGGGCGUAAAGCGCACGUAGGCGGAUUGUUAAGUCAGGGGUGAAAUCCUGGAGCUCAACUCCAGAACUGCCUUUGAUACUGGCGAUCUCGAGUCCGGGAGAGGUGAGUGGAACUGCGAGUGUAGAGGUGAAAUUCGUAGAUAUUCGCAAGAACACCAGUGGCGAAGGCGGCUCACUGGCCCGGUACUGACGCUGAGGUGACGAAGCGUGGGAGCAAACAGG